GACGAACGCUGGCGGCGUGCCUAAUACAUGCAAGUUGAGCGCUGAAGGUUGGUACUUGUACCAACUGGAUGAGCAGCGAACGGGUGAGUACCGCGUGGGGAAUCUGCCUUUGAGCGGGGGACAACAUUUGGAAACGAAUGCUAAUACCGCAUAAAAACUUUAAACACAAGUUUUAAGUUUGAAAGAUGCAAUUGCAUCACUCAAAGAUGAUCCCGCGUUGUAUUAGCUAGUUGGUGAGGUAAAGGCUCACCAAGGCGAUGAUACAUAGCCGACCUGAGAGGGUGAUCGGCCACCUUGGGACUGAGACACGGCCCAAACUCCUACGGGAGGCAGCAGUAGGGAAUCUUCGGCAAUGGACCAAAGUCUGACCGAGCAACGCCGCGUGAGUGAAGAAGGUUUUCGGAUCGUAAAACUCUGUUGGUAGAGAAGAACGUUGGUGAGAGUGGAAAGCUCAUCAAGUGACGGUAACUACCCAGAAAGGGACGGCUAACUACGUG
rnacentral:rRNA from 1 species